GCCCUGCCGGCAGCAGGACUGUCUUUGGGACGUCCCCAUCCUUGCGGUGUUGGGAGGAGAGAGGCAGCGGCGAGCCGGAGGUGACUCUGGCUCCCAGGGUCGGCCAGGGAGGGCACAAGCGGUGCAGUCCCUCUGCCCAGCUCUCCUGGGACUACCUGCACCUGGGACCCUGGGGUGCCUCUGCGUGCUUCUGUCCUGCUCUCCCCUUUCCUCAGACCCUCAUCCCUGCCCUUACCUGUGUUGGCCUCCUCUGGAGAUGACCUGGCUCCUGGUGUUGAGGCUCCUUCCCUGGGGGGCACCUGGGCUGGCUUGUCCUUGUCACCUGGCUCUACCUGCUGUGAAGGCCAGGGAGAUCCAUGGGAGGGCAGCAGGGAAAAAACCACCCUCAGUCCCAGGCACCUGCAUGGCCUCGCAGACGGACAAAAUCUCGGGUGCCGCUGGGGAGAGCCUUGCCGGGCCACAGGGUGCUGUGCAGCUCAUGCAGCCCCUCCACGGGGCGGCUGGGUCCCUGCUCCUCCUCCUUAGCUACCUUUGCUCUGUCACCUUCCCCCCUGCGGGGCAGCGGAUGGGUGUCGAAACAGAGCUGCCUAAAUUUAGACAGGCUCAAAUCCAGCCAAGAACAGCAGGCACAUGGCACAGAGGGAGGCUGUGUGUGGCCAGGGGGCUGAGGAGCCCAUGGAGGUGGUGGGAAGCUCCCCAGGGUGUGCAGCACGGGCUGGGUGAGCUGGCUGCCUCCAAGGUACCAGCUUUUCCUUCCCUUUUUGGCUCCUAUAGCAGGUUGGCUGCAGCCCUGUGGACUGAGUCACUGUGACUGUGCUUUCCCAACAGGGUCUUUAAUCAUUUCCCUGAUAGCUCUCCUUCCAGGGGGAAACUGAGGCACAGGCUGAUUAGAGGGGACCUGGCAGAGCUGUGCUGGGUCCCAGGCCGGCCACAGUGCUUGGAGGAGCCCUGUUUUGCUCCAUGGGGAGGACGGUGGGCAGCAAAUGGCUUUCAGGUGCCCCACUGAGUCCUGAGUGCAAACAUGGCAUGGGCCAAAGGUGGCCCGCGUUGCUGGGGGUUGGUGAACGCCAGGCCAUACAGGCUUUGCUGAAAGCUGCCUGCAAGGGCUCAGAUGCAGCAAGCGGCCACGCAAACCCCUAUUGCCAUAGGGAGGAGAAAGGGAGGGUUGUAGCUCAGGCCUUAAUCUUCACUGAGAUGGGAAGCCUUACAGACCUGCAGUGCCCUCAAUGCGUUUGCACCGCGAGCCUUUCACCAGCCUAUGAGGACGGGGAAGAACAUGGAGGGAGACCUAACAGCCGGAUUUGUCUGAAACAGGAGCCACCGCCGAAAGCUGCUCCGCCGCGGACGUGCCCAGAAGACCUUUGGAGCACGGGAGAUGCAGGCGUGCGAGGUCCCGACUCUUUGCAUCAGGGCUGUGCAACUGCCCGUGCGCCAGCAGCUUGGAACCCCGAUUUGUGGCCGGACGACCCGAACCUGCGGCUGCCGGCGGGAGCGUCACGGCCUGGCUGGCUCGAGGGAAGAUGCUCUCUGCAGCUCACCCAGGUGUCCCAUCCCAGGCGAUGCAAAUGGCAUGUGCGCAAGUUCAUGGCUGCAAAAUCCUCGGUGCAUUGCCUGCUUUUCCAUGCAUCGUCCAUCACCCGGCUGUUUUGGAGCGGGGUGCAUGGUCCAAACCCUCAGGCUCUGUGCCCAAACCACCUUCUCCCAGGUUUCUGCUCCCUGUUAGCAGAUGGAGACUCCCAAUCUCAAAGGUCUGAGCUGCAGCUUUGCGGCAAGCUCGCGUCCGAGGCAAAAGCUCUCCCCAGGGCGAACGUGUUUCGCCCUCGCGGAGGUUUGCAAUUUGCACUAAAAUCGGGGUGUCUUCCAGCAGCGUCCUCUGCUCUCAGCAGUGUCGGAGCCCGCUAG
ensembl:lncRNA